UUCGUCAACGAGAGGUUGCUGG
rnacentral:siRNA from 1 species